rnacentral:rRNA from 1 species
GAUGAACGCUGGCGGCGUGCCUAAUACAUGCAAGUCGAGCGAAUGGAUUAAGAGCUUGCUCUUAUGAGGUUAGCGGCGGACGGGUGAGUAACACGUGGGUAACCUGCCCAUAAGACUAGGAUAACUCCGGGAAACCGGGGCUAAUACCGGAUAACAUGUUGAACCGCAUGGUUCGAAAUUGAAAGGCGGCUUCGGCUGUCACUUAUGGAUGGACCCGCGUCGCAUUAGCUAGUUGGUGAGGUAACGGCUCACCAAGGCAACGAUGCGUAGCCGACCUGAGAGGGUGAUCGGCCACACUGGGACUGAGACACGGCCCAGACUCCUACGGGAGGCAGCAGUAGGGAAUCUUCCGCAAUGGACGAAAGUCUGACGGAGCAACGCCGCGUGAGUGAUGAAGGCUUUCGGGUCGUAAAACUCUGUCGUUAGGGAAGAACAAGUGCUAGUUGAAUAAGCUGGCACCUUGACGGUACCUAACCAGAAAGCCACGGCUAACUACGUGCCAGCCGCCGCAGUAA